rnacentral:rRNA from 2 species
CCGGGGCUCAACUCCGGUUCUGCAGUGGGUACGGGCAGACUAGAGUGCAGUAGGGGAGACUGGAAUUCCUGGUGUAGCGGUGAAAUGCGCAGAUAUCAGGAGGAACACCGAUGGCGAAGGCAGGUCUCUGGGCUGUAACUGACGCUGAGGAGCGAAAGCAUGGGGAGCGAACAGGAUUAGAUACCCUGGUAGUCCAUGCCGUAAACGUUGGGCACUAGGUGUGGGGGACAUUCCACGUUUUCCGCGCCGUAGCUAACGCAUUAAGUGCCCCGCCUGGGGAGUACGGCCGCAAGGCUAAAACUCAAAGGAAUUGACGGGGGCCCGCACAAGCGGCGGAGCAUGCGGAUUAAUUCGAUGCAACGCGAAGAACCUUACCAAGGCUUGACAUGAACCGGUAAUACCUGGAAACAGGUGCCCCGCUUGCGGUCGGUUUACAGGUGGUGCAUGGUUGUCGUCAGCUCGUGUCGUGAGAUGUUGGGUUAAGUCCCGCAACGAGCGCAACCCUCGUUCUAUGUUGCCAGCGCGUUAUGGCGGGGACUCAUAGGAGACUGCCGGGGUCAACUCGGAGGAAGGUGGGGACGACGUCAAAUCAUCAUGCCCCUUAUGUCUUGGGCUUCACGCAUGCUACAAUGGC